UUUUUUUUUUUUUUUACAAAAACCAGAGUAGUCUGUGUGGCGAUUAUUUUCUCACUAAAGUCAGGCAAACGAAUACACACAAUCCAGGACGUUAAAACAGAAAAGGAAAAAAGUUCUUUAAAAAACCUUACUGGUUGCCAGAAAGCUGGGAGACCCCCACCAAGCCGGGAAGAAUAGUGUAACUUUAGCCUCCCAGCUGUAAAUCUCAGUCUGUAAUCCGUCCCCAAAGACACACUGUAAAGUGCCACUCCCAUGCCUGGGCCUCCCAUGCCUCUGGUGGGUGAGGAUGCAUAAGAUUCAGGGUGCCACACCGUUUCUCACUUUAAACGUGGAAAGGAUUUUGAGCCGAAGCAUUGCGGGGAAGGCCGACAGCUGCGGCGAGGUGCCUGUAUCGUACCACCGUGACCCCCCUUUCCCCCCGCCUUCCCCUCCCGGGAGAACGUCCUCUGACUCCUCCGGGCAUGCCACGGAGCCAGAAAUCUCCUGUGGUGGGGUCACAGGGAAGUGAAGAAGAGGAGAAUAUGUUUAUAAAUGCCGCCCGUGGUAAUUAGAGCUGUCCUGUUCACAGACAAAAGGACUGCUCGGACUGACAAACGCACAGGGCUGAUCAAUCGGGCUCCUCUGCCUCAACAGGUGGCGGUGGUUUAAACGCUCCACUUCCGGCUCCCCGGUUUGCAAGGUAACCAUACGCGUACACAAGCACGUGCCUGGAGAUUAGAACGCUCAGUCUCCGUGGUGACAGAAAGACGGGACAGGCUUAAAUCCUGAAGCGUGAGCACAGAGCUGAGUAAGCUCUAGCCGGGCCUGCCACGGCGAGUUUGUGCUGUUGCAUCACCCGUUUCCAGCAGCCAGAAUUUCAAGGCCGCGUGUCUCUGUCAAACAGAAGCAUUUAUUGAAUGUGAAAAAAAGAAAACGAACCGCGAAAACAACACUCCACCGGAAAAGAGAAAAGCUCUCCGUUCCUGACAUUAGCAUAGGCGGUGAAGUUGAAUGAUUUCAUGUGGUGUCAAAAAAAAUCGUUUUGCUCUCUGAAGGAGGAUCCCGACGUGCUUUGCAGCUGACUUUGAUUUGCACAACAUCAGUUAGACAUGGCGUUUGAGCAGCGAGUAAAUUGUGCUGUUGCUUUGAUUCCAUAUAUUCUGGCAGACACAAAUAUACAGAAAGAGAUUUUUGGACUGACAUAAAGCGGUAAACAAGGAGCACUAGGGAGUUACCAAGAAAUCUGCCUCUAUUUGAUCACAUCUCAUGAAAUAAUAAAAUAAAAAUAAAAAAACACAUCCGUGAGGUUUCCGUUUUUAUUUUUUUAUUUUGCAAUUAUAAUUUGUCUGUUGUUUUUGCUGUUGUAAAGUUGUUUUUCAGAGAUAAAGAUAUAACCCUUUGUGUUUAUUUUCCCAUAAAUAAAUGCCCAAUAUUGCAAAUACAGUAUGAAUAUUGAGUAUCAACCUAAUCUUAACAAACAGUGAAAGCUGAAAUUUAGAUUUGGCACGUUUUUCCCCAUUGAAUCUGUUCCAUCAUGUAUUUGCAUCUGAUUGUAAAUAAAGAGAAGGUGAUCCUUCAGGUAUUUCUGCCUGUCUGCCUUGCUGAUACAAAUAUUCUGUUUGAUCAGUUUCAUGAUCUUCAUAGAUUGAAUGUCUAGACUGUGCUUAGGCUCAUAAUAUUUAGCAUGUCUUACACUAUCGGCCACACAAAUACUAUUUUAAUUUGACAUAGUCACAAAUGUAACACUAAUCCCAGAUUAAGCAGACAAUCCUUCAGAUAUCUUUUUGAACUGCCCCAACCCGCUUUGAAAGCAGCCUCAUUUAGCAUAGUAAUAUCUUGUUCAAAAACCGGGUAACUCAGAUUAAAACUGUGUAAUGUGUAUUGUGUACUGUGUAUUGGUUCAGUUUUAUGUCUCGUGGUGUUUGUCAGAUAGUAAGAUGACUGCCAACAGAUUUGAGCAAAACAAGUCAGAUGCUUUUGCAACGGUUUUGCACUCACAAGAACUGGCUAAAGAAAUACACAGGAUAACUAG